rnacentral:rRNA from 1 species
AUGCUCUCCGCUGCCUUCGCUGUUCACCCCGCCGCCGUCGCGUCGCAGCGGCAUUCGGUCCGCCAGCACCAGCAAUUCUGCGCUCCAAUCCGGACCGCGACGCCAAGGCGGCGGUUGCCAGUGGCGAUGCUUUCGGUCACUAACGCCGUUGCCACCCAGAGCCGCGAGAGCUCCCCCGCGGCGCCUCGCAAGCUCUCUUUCCCGAUACUGGUGAACAGCUGCACCGGGAAAAUGGGGAAGUCUGUUGCUGAAGCAGCUGUGUCUGCUGGUCUUCAGUUAGUUCCGGUGUCAUUCAGUGCAAUAGAGGUUCCUGAUGGAAAGCUCAACAUCUGUGACAGAGAUAUUCAUAUUCAUGAUCCAUCUGAAAGUGAACGUAUUCUCCGUUCCAUUGCUAAGGACUACCCAGAUAUGGUAGUUGUUGACUACACAGUGCCUGAUGCUGUUAAUGCCAAUGCUGAACUUUACUGCAAACUUGGCUUGCCAUUUGUAAUGGGCACAACUGGUGGAAAUAGGCAACUGUUGAACAAAACUGUGCAGGAUGCGAAUGUUUAUGCUGUGAUAUCUCCACAAAUGGGGAAGCAGGUUGUUGCUUUCCUUGCUGCCAUGGAAAUCAUGGCAGAGAAAUUCCCUGGUGCAUUUGCAGGUUACAAACUAGAGGUAAUGGAGUCUCAUCAAGCGACAAAAUUGGAUGUUUCUGGCACUGCCAAAGCUGUAAUCUCUUGCUUUCAGAAGUUGGGUGUCUCAUUCGACUUAGACGAGCAGCGAGGUGUCCCUGCUCUGAUGGAUCCUAGGAGAAGAGCUACAUCAGAUGAUCCAGUUUGGAAGUAUGGGUUUUGGCCAGAUUUAGAGAGGAAAGAUUUACUCCUGUGUACAUUGUGUGGCAAGAUAGUCCAUGCUGGAGUGAGAAGGCUGAAGCAACACCUUUCUGGGGGUUGUAGUGAUGCAGAUAUGUGUCCCAAGGCAUCUACGGAGAUUAGGAUAGAGAUGCGCAAAUCCUUAAACACUAGAAAGUUUAAAGCUAUGGAGCGAUAUAUUGAUGAGAAGGAUGAAGCUGAAGUUCAAAGGCGCCUUUCUGUCAUAUACAGAAGAUGA